GGAAGAGGGACAUAGAGAGGGAGAGAUAGCUGCAGCACCGAUCCAUGUGCGUCCCUCCAGAAGCUGCACACUCGGUCGAAGAGGACAGCCUUCCCUGAAUAGAGACGAACUGGUCUUCAGUUGAAGGCAUAUGAGUAGCUGCGCUCCCCUGCUAGAACUUCCAAACAAGCGCUCAAGGUCCAUUUGUAGGAGAAUGUAGGGUAGUCAAGCUCCCAAGACUCCAGACACAUCCAAAUGAGGUGCUACAUGUGGCAGUCUGCCUUUCUUU
ensembl:misc_RNA 7SK 7SK RNA